ACUUUUGCUCACUUAACAAAUGGAAACGUGGACAAGUAGUCCUACCAUACUGUCCUAUCAAUGAAUGAGCAUCGAGUGUAGCGGACCUUUGUGAAAGCAAUCACUUUUUAUGAAUUUUAUCAACGCGGUGGAACCUCUAUAGCAAAGGGGGGAGCGCACUGAGGAUUAUAGUCACCGCUAAAAGGAAAUAGCAAAAUGUGAUUAACAAAAUUAUAUCAGAAAAUAUAUUUUCAGACGACCUCCCUCUCUUUUUUUUAUUAUUGUGUGUUUUUCUAUGUCUUUUCGGAGAGAAGCAUGUCCUUCGAGACAAAUUAAUUUCAUCCUCACCUGGAAUUACAAUGGAAAAUGUAGGCAUGAUCGAUUAUUUUCCGGGAAUCACAAUUAAGAUCCAAUGUUGGUGAAUGGACUACUAGACAUCCGAAACAUGGUGACGGGCCUGACGACCGCAUCUAAAAAUGGAUCAUCAUCUUAUUGCCCUUUGAAUACAACCAGCGACACGCAGGUAAGUCGUUCCUUCAUUUUGUUUCUGUUUAGUGCUGCAACAUUGCCUAAUGAAACGCGCACGUGAACAGGUCUCGCUCUUUGCGCCUCGACCACCGUAACUACCCUCCCAUUUUGUGUCUAUCUUGUCCGUUUCCCCCCCAUAAAUGAAGUCAUCUAGCAGCAAUAGAAAAUGGAAGUGUGUGAAUUGGCCUAGACACACAAUGACUGUGUGACUUGUUCCCGACAUGAGCAACGCCACAUGAAUGCAAAUGUCGACACACCAGCCGUACCAUAAUGCUCAUGGUCAGCAAGCCUUCCUAACUUUAAUGUGUAUGGAUAUGGUUUUGCUUUGAUAACAUUGUCACAUAGAGGCACAUGUUUGCUGCCCAAAACCUCAGCAGUGGGAGGCUUAUCGAUAUAUAAUCUCCCACAAAGAGCCUAUAGACUAAACUCAAGGAAUGCUACAUGAUAUGGCACAUUAAGAAACAGCCACAAUAGUUAAAUAAUGGUCAAAAAUACUACAUUUCCCAGUAGUAAAGGUAAUUAUCGUUAACUAUCAAGGGGAGUCAGUAAUGGGUCUACAGUAAUUAAGUUGCUUCCAUAAUUCAUGAUGCCUUGUCUU
rnacentral:lncRNA from 8 species